rnacentral:tRNA from 1 species
GGUGGGGUUCCCGAGCGGCCAAAGGGAGCAGACUGUAAAUCUGCCGUCAUCGACUUCGAAGGUUCGAUUCGAGCGUAGCGAGAAAGCGUUGCCGCAGGCAACGACCCGAAGGGUGAGGAGCAAAGCGACGAAUUAUCCUUCCCCCACCACCA